UACGGGGGGGGCAAGCGUUGUUCGGAAUUACUGGGCGUAAAGGGCUCGUAGGCGGCCAACUAAGUCAGACGUGAAAUCCCCAGGCUCAACCUGGGAACUGCGUCUGAUACUGGAUGGCUUGAAUCCGGGAGAGGGAUGCAGAAUUCCAGGUGUAGCGGUGAAAUGCGUAGAUAUCUGGAGGAACACCGGUGGCGAAGGCGGCGUCCUGGACCAAUACUGACACUGAUGAGCGAAAGCCAGGGGAGCAAACGGG
rnacentral:rRNA from 1 species